rnacentral:rRNA from 1 species
UAUGCUUUGGGGAGCUGUAAGUAAGCUUUGAUCCAGAGAUUUCCGAAUGGGGAAACCCAGCACGAGUUAUGUCGUGUUAUCUGCAUGUGAAUACAUAGCAUGCAAGAAGGCAGACCCGGAGAACUGAAACAUCUUAGUACCCGGAGGAAGAGAAAGAAAAAUCGAUUCCCUGAGUAGCGGCGAGCGAAACGGGAAGAGCCCAAACCAAUAAGCUUGCUUAUUGGGGUUGUAGGACACUCUGUACGGAGUUACAAAAGAAUUUGUUAGACGAAUAACCUGGAAAGGUUAAUCAUAGAAGGUAAUAAUCCUGUAGUCGAAAACGAAUUCUCUCUUGAGUGGAUCCUGAGUACGACGGAGCACGUGAAAUUCCGUCGGAAUCUGGGAGGACCAUCUCCUAAGGCUAAAUACUCUCUAGUGACCGAUAGUGAACCAGUACCGUGAGGGAAAGGUGAAAAGUACCCCGGAAGGGGAGUGAAAGAGAACUUGAAACCGUGUGCUUACAAGUAGUCAGAGCCCGUUAAUGGGUGAUGGCGUGCCUUUUGUAGAAUGAACCGGCGAGUUACGAUCUGAUGCAAGGUUAAGCAGAAAAUGUGGAGCCGUAGCGAAAGCGAGUCUGAAUAGGGCGAAUGAGUAUUUGGUCGUAGACCCGAAACCAGGUGAUCUACCCUUGGUCAGGUUGAAGUUCAGGUAACACUGAAUGGAGGACCGAACCGACUUACGUUGAAAAGUGAGCGGAUGAACUGAGGGUAGCGGAGAAAUUCCAAUCGAACUUGGAGAUAGCUGGUUCUCUCCGAAAUAGCUUUAGGGCUAGCCUCAAGUGAUGAUUAUUGGAGGUAGAGCACUGUUUGGACGAGGGGCCCCUCUCGGGUUACCGAAUUCAGACAAACUCCGAAUGCCAAAUAAUUUAACUUGGGAGUCAGAAUGUGGGUGAUAAGGUCCAUAUUCGAAAGGGAAACAGCCCAGACCACCAGCUAAGGUCCCAAAAUAUAUGUUAAGUGGAAAAGGAUGUGGCGUUGCCCAGACAACUAGGAUGUUGGCUUAGAAGCAGCCAUCAUUUAAAGAGUGCGUAAUAGCUCACUAGUCGAGUGACACUGCGCCGAAAAUGUACCGGGGCUAAACAUAU